UACGUAGGGGGCUAGCGUUGUCCGGAAUCAUUGGGCGUAAAGAGCGUGUAGGCGGUCCGGUAAGUCCGCUGUGAAAGUCGGGGGCUCAACCCUCGAAUGCCGGUGGAUACUGUCGGGCUAGAGUGCGGAAGAGGCGAGUGGAAUUCCUGGUGUAGCGGUGAAAUGCGCAGAUAUCAGGAGGAACACCAAUUGCGAAGGCAGCUCGCUGGGACGUAACUGACGCUGAGACGCGAAAGCGUGGGGAGCGAACAGG
rnacentral:rRNA from 1 species